CCGGGGACGACCCCGGGCGAGAGUUUCCCCGGCGGGACGGCCCGC
rnacentral:ncRNA from 1 species